UUCUAGCAGGUGGCUGAAGCACAGAUUCAAGGGUGUGAGAACCUGGAAUAAUCAUACAUCUUCUUUUCUUCAUAAACUCCGUUCUGACCCAAGAAUCUUCACUCAUGAAACAAAGUGCUGAGGUAGAAGAAAGAGGCCUGAACUCACAGAGAAAAGAGAGAGAAAAUGUGGAGAACUCCUAUUCUGCCUUCAGCAACCUUGGACCGGAAGAGAAACAUCACUUCUCUCCACAUUUCCAUUGGUGAGAACUCAGUCACAUGCUCCCAAUGGACUUACUAGCUCUAUCUCAGGUUACAGUAAGAGUCCACUGGGACUUACUAGCGCUCUCUGUGUAGUCUGACUGUGUGCCAGAAAGAAGAAGUAUAGCACUGUUUGGUUCAGAGACCCGUAAUUCCAGCUACUUGAGAGGCUGCGGCAGGAGAAUCGCUUAAACCCAGGAGGCAGAGGUUGCAGUGGGUCAAGAUCACACCUUGAACUCCAGCCUGGGCGACAGAGUGAGAGUCUGUCUCAAAAAAAGUGUUUUAUUCCUAAAAACUAUUGACAGAAUAGUCAUUAAAUUAUUUGAUUGUUAACUCUGUACUCCAGACAUGACAUAUCAUUGGUAAUGAUCUGUAUUGUUCAUAAAAUUUUUUCUAGUGGAAAUAUAAUGUGAGCCACAUAUUUAACUUAAAAUAUUCAAGUAGCAAUAUUUUUUAAAAGAAAAAGAAACAACUGAAAUCAAUUUAAUGUUUUAUUUAAUUUGAUAUAUUUCAAAUAUCAUUGAAACAUGUAAUCAAUAUAAAAUAUUAAUGACAUUUUUAAUAAUCUUUUGUUGUACUAAGUCUGAAAUUUAGUGUGUGUGAUGGUUAAUAUUGAAUGUCAACUUGAAUGGAUUGAAGAAAGCAAAGUGUUGAUCCUAGCUGUGUCUAUGAGGGUGUUGCCAAAGGAGAUUAACAUUUGAGUCAGUGGACUGCUAGAGGCAGACUCACCCUCAAUCUGGCUGGGCACCACCUAAUCAGCUGCCAGCGUGGCUAAAAUAAAGCAGGUAGGAGAAGGUGGAAGAGCAGACUUGCUGAGUCUCGGCCUUCAUCUUUGUCCUGUGCUGGAUGCUUCUUGCCCUCAAACAUCUGACUCCAAAUUCUUCAGCUUUUUGACUCUUGGACUUACACCAGUGGUUUGCCACAGACUAAAGGCUGCACUGUUGGCUUCCUUAUUUUUGAAGUUUUGGGACUUGGACUGAGAUACUACUGGCUUCCUUGCUCCUCAGCUUGCUGACAGCCUAUCGUGGAACUUCACCUUGUGAUCAUGGAGAGUUCAAGGCUCAGAAUAAAUCAAGUCCCUUUGUGUUAAGAAGCACAUCAGCCUUUAACAAAUGCAGAAUUACUGGGAAAGGAGUAGUAUACAUAGAUGGAGUCUUACUCUGCCGCCCACGCUGGAGUGCAGGAGCGAUCUCGGCUCACUGCAACCUCCGCCUCCGGGAUUCAGGCGAUUCUCCUGCCUCAGGCUCCCUAGCAGCUGGGAUUCCAGGUGUGCGGCACAGUGCCCGGCUAAUUUUUGUAUUUUUAGUAGAGAUAGAAUUUCGCCACGUUGGCCAGCCUGGUAUUGAACUCCUGACCACAGGUGAUCCAUCCGCUCAGCCUCCCAAAGUGCUGAGAUUACAGGAGUGAACCACCGCGCCCAGCAGCUGAGGGCAUUUUCUUUGUUGAGGAAAGUAAUAGUGAUGAUCAGAUUUGUAAUUUUCCUGUAUUAAAUGCCUAGAACUCUACAGUCAACAGAUGGCGCUCUAGUUCCAAUUGUUACAGAAGUUCUCUGCCCAUCCGCAAGCAAAGCGUUGUUUUCAUCAGUGAAAAGAGAAUAAACACUGUGCUUUAACUUUUUUACGUAGCUAAAGAAAAUAAAUAAAGCGUCUUAAUUCC
rnacentral:lncRNA from 1 species